AACGAACGCUGGCGGCAGGCUUAACACAUGCAAGUCGAGCGCGUAGCAAUACGAGCGGCAGACGGGUGAGUAACGCGUGGGAAUCUACCCAACCCUACGGAAUAACGCAUGGAAACGUGUGCUAAUACCGUAUACGCCCUUAGGGGGAAAGAUUUAUCGGGGAUGGAUGAGCCCGCGUUGGAUUAGCUAGUUGGUGGGGUAAAGGCCUACCAAGGCGACGAUCCAUAGCUGGUCUGAGAGGAUGAUCAGCCACAUUGGGACUGAGACACGGCCCAAACUCCUACGGGAGGCAGCAGUGGGGAAUAUUGGACAAUGGGCGCAAGCCUGAUCCAGCCAUGCCGCGUGAGUGAUGAAGGCCUUAGGGUUGUAAAGCUCUUUUACCCGAGAUGAUAAUGACAGUAUCGGGAGAAUAAGACUCCGGCUAACUCCGUGCCAGCAGCCGCGGUAAUGUGACUACUG
rnacentral:rRNA from 1 species